CCUACGGGUGGCAGCAGUGAGGAAUAUUGGACAAUGGGCGCGAGCCUGAACCAGCCAAGUAGCGUGAAGGAUGACUGCCCUACGGGUUGUAAACUUCUUUUAUAAAGGAAUAAAGUGAGGCAAGUGUGCCUUUUUGUAUGUACUUUAUGAAUAAGGAUCGGCUAACUUCGUGCCAGCAGACGAGGUAAUACUGAGGAUCCGAGCGUUAUCCGGAUUUGUUGGGUUGAAAGGGAGCGUAGAGGGGUUGUUAAGUUAGUUGUGAAAGUUUGCGGCUCAACCGUAAAAUUGCUAUUGAUACUGGCAGUCUUGAGUACAGUUGAGGUAGGCGGAAUUCGUUGUGUAGCGGUGAAAUGCUUAGAUAUCACGAAGAACUCCGAUUGCGAAGGCAGCUUACUAAACUGCCACUGACAUUGAUGCUCGAAAGUGUGGGUAUCAAACAGGAUUAGAUACCCGAGUAGUC
rnacentral:rRNA from 1 species